GAUGAACGCUGGCGGCGUGCCUAAUACAUGUAAGUCGAGCGAACGGAUAAGGAGCUUGCUCCUUUGAAGUUAGCGGCGGACGGGUGAGUAACACGUGGGUAACCUACCUAUAAGACUGGAAUAACUUCGGGAAACCGGAGCUAAUGCCGGAUAACAUUUGGAACUGCAUGGUUCUAAAGUAAAAGAUGGUUUUGCUAUCACUUAUAGAUGGACCCGCGCCGUAUUAGCUAGUUGGUAAGGUAACGGCUUACCAAGGCAACGAUACGUAGCCGACCGGCGAGGGUGAUCGGCCACACUGGAACUGAGACACGGUCCAGACUCCAACGGGAGGCAGCAGUAGGGAAUCUUCCGCAAUGGACGAAAGUCUGACGGAGCAACGCCGCGUGAGUGAUGAAGGUUUUCGGAUCGUAAAACUCUGUUAUUAGGGAAGAACAAAUGUGUAAGUAACUGUGCACAUCUUGACGGUACCUAAUCAGAAAGCCACGGCUAACUACGUGCCAGCAGCCGCCGUAA
rnacentral:rRNA from 1 species